rnacentral:lncRNA from 1 species
UUUUAAGACUGUCUUGAUCCAUUAUUCAUGAAUAUUUAGACUACCCCUUGUAUAAAUUGAGUAGACAUUUAUUUCUGUGUUAAAAUAAUUUGGUUGCAGCAGUAAACAUACUUACCAAAACAUGAAUAUUAAAUUAACUCUUGGAAUAUUAAAUUAAUAUUAAAUUAUUAACCCUAUUAUGGCACAUAGGGACACAUAGGGCCUAUUUCACAGGG